CGUGUAGGCGGCUGGCUAAGUCUGGUGUGAAAGCCCGGGGCUCACCCCCGGAAGUGCGCUGGAAACUAGUCAGCUAGAGUAUGGGAGAGGGCAGUGGAAUUCCUGGUGUAGCGGUGAAAUGCGUAGAUAUCAGGAGGAACACCGGCGGCGAAGGCGGCUUCCUGGACCAAUACUGACGCUGAGACGCGAAAGCGUGGGGAGCAAACAGGAUUAGAUACCCUGGUAGUCC
rnacentral:rRNA from 1 species